rnacentral:rRNA from 1 species
UACGUAGGGGGCAAGCGUUGUCCGGAAUCAUUGGGCGUAAAGCGCGUGUAGGCGGCCAGAAAAGUCCGCUGUGAAAACUCGAGGCUCAACUUCGAGCUGUCGGUGGAAACUUUCUGGCUAGAGUCCGGAAGAGGAGAAUGGAAUUCCUGGUGUAGCGGUGAAAUGCGCAGAUAUCGUAAGGAAGACCAGUGGCGAAGGCGGGUCUCUGGACAGUUCCUGACGCUGAGGCACGAAGGUCAGGGGAGCAAACGGG